GCAAGUCGUACGUGAACGUCUCCUUCGGGAGGCAAGUAAAGUGGCGCACGGGUGAGUAACACGUGGAUAAUCUACCCGACAAUCUGGGAUAACAUUUCGAAAGAAAUGCUAAUACCGAAUAAGCCCACGACGUCUUCGGACGAUGUGGGAAAAGGUGGGGACCUUCGGGCCUGCCGUUGUCGGAUGAGUCCGCGUCCCAUUAGCUAGUUGGUAGGGUAAUGGCCUACCAAGGCUACGAUGGGUAGCUGGUCUGAGAGGAUGAUC
rnacentral:rRNA from 1 species